rnacentral:rRNA from 1 species
UACGAAGGGGGCGAGCGUUGUUCGGAUUUACUGGGCGUAAAGCGCACGUAGGCGGUCCUUUAAGUCGGGGGUGAAAUCCUGGAGCUCAACUCCAGAACUGCCUUCGAUACUGGAAGACUCGAGUCCGGGAGAGGUGAGUGGAACUGCGAGUGUAGAGGUGAAAUUCGUAGAUAUUCGCAAGAACACCAGUGGCGAAGGCGGCUCACUGGCCCGGUACUGACGCUGAGGUGCGAAAGCGUGGGGAGCAAACAGG